GUAGGGAUGUUUUACUGUAGUGGAAAUACCAAGUCACAGCCUGAAUUAGUGAUUGAACACCUGCUAGGAAGGCAGGGCCAACCCAGGGGAGCUCAGGCAUAUGCAGUACACCUGAGUGACUGGAAAGGGUGGAGCCAGGAUUCACCCCUUCCCAGACCUCAUUUAAGGAUAUCUUGCUGGAGAUCUCUGUGUACCUGAGGCCUUCUAGAGAAUUGAAGUGAAGAAAAUGAUUUCAUCUUUAACAGUCUCCAGGAAGAUUCCUGUGUAAGGUGGCCAUGUUUUAAGCUGAACCAGAUGAUGCCCAGAGACCCCAGAAUACACUGUUUUUGCGUCAGCAAGAAACCACUACUGCAAUGAAAACUAGCUGAACUGCAUUUGUGAGAUCUAAGCCAGCAAGUCAAAGGUUCGGACAGUGUUCUGUUUUACUACAUUAGUUCUCACAGAAAUGCAUCUCUACUCAACAGUGAAUUAUCCUGAAUCUAAUAUACGUUUUGGAUCGUAUUUCGUUUAUCUGCAGUAGAGAUGCUGAGGAUACCAUAAGCACUUAUAUAUACAGAAAUGUCUGACAGUAUUUCAAACCAUGGAAGGAUUAGGAAUAAUUCCCAAAUGGGUCUGAUUUUCUGUCACAUUGUCAACUCUUCGAAGCAAUGAUGAUUGUAAAUGUUGCACAUCAGAUAUGUGGGAGGCAUCGUGCUCACUGGCCCUCGUCCUGGUGGGGGACUUCAAUCAUCCGGACAUCUGUUGGAAAGACCACAUGGCGAGCUGCAAGAGGUCCAGAAGGCUCGUGGAAUCCGUUGAUGACAACUUUCUGGUCCAGGUAGUGGACAGACCAACCAGAGGUGAAGCGUUGCUGGACCUGCUGCUCACCAAUGCAGAAGAGAUCAUCAAAGAUGUCAAUGUUGAAGGCAGCCUGGGCUGCAGCAACCAUGCCCUGGUUGAGUUCGUGAUCUUGAGGGAUGUGGGCCUGACAAAGGGUGGGGUCAGGACCCUGAACUUUGGAAGAGUGAACUUUAAGCUGUUCAAUGGAUUGUUGGCCAAGAUCCCCUAGGAUGCUGUCCUUAAAGAUAAAGAUGUUGAGGAGAGCUGGCCACUCUUCAAGGAUGCCCUCCUGAAAGCACGAGAGGUCUCCAUCCCUCUGAAUAGGAAAGUGGGCAGACGAGAUAGGAAACCGGCAUGGCUCGGCAACGACAUGCUGGGCACACUGAGGGCAAAGAAAGGAAUGAUGACAUCAACUGAACAAAAUAUGAACUGAUUGAGGGCUUGUGACUUUUAAGGAUUUAUUUCAAAGGGAAACAGAACAAAUGGAUCACUCAGAGGUGAAUCAUAGAAUCAUCUAGUUUGGAAAAGAUCUUCAAGAUAAUCAGGUCCAAACAUCCACAUAAAGCAUCAAGUCCUGCCUUUUCCUAAAUGCCACAUCCACAUAUCUGUUAAAUACCUCCAGCUUCCAAAGUGUCAAGCAAUAUGUAGGAAAAUCACAGCAGAAAAGGGGAAACACUGAUGGUUGAUUAAGUCAUCUGUAGAGACUUCACACUCAGAAGUCCCCCAGCUGAGUUAUGCCCCUUCGUCACGGAAUUCACACCCCACCCCCUCCACUGACGCAAACUUCAGAGAGCAGCUCCAUGGAGGAUAACCUAAGUGCUGCCUGCAGAGCUAAGUAUGUAACUGAGUCCUCUAAGAGUGAUGACCAAUCAGAUGAAAGCCUGUCCCGAUGUAUCCUGAGGCAUUUGUUCAGGUCUUGCCCUGGACUGAUGCAGGCAGCCACUUCCUAUGGCCCUGCUAUGGUUGGACAACACGUAUGGAAAUGGUCAGACGUGAACAGGAAGGUGCUUUCCUAAUCUGACACUACUCUGAAAAAGAAUUACAAGAACUACUAUUUCAAUCAAAAAAAUGUUUGACCUUGCUUAUAUGGACUUGGAUCAAAAUGACAGUGUAAGGAACAAUAUAUUCAGUUGCUCAGCAAAGCCCAUAGAAUUCUGCAUACUGCUUGGAAAUGCAACCCCAGUAAAAUCAAGGAAUUAGGAGCUGUGUCGGAAAACAUAUCUGGACUCCAUUUCACAUAUUCUCUGAGAACCCUUCGUUUGGAUGUGAGGAAAUGGAUGUGUUUGAGAGAAAGGGCCACCAAGAGAGGAACAUCAGGGCACCAUGUCUGGGGCUUGAGGAUCUGAGCUCAAUUUUCACUUCUGAUAGAGCUUUCUUGACUCAGUGUGAACAGUUUACUUUUUCUUGUACUGCUUCUGCACUUGGAAAAUUGGACUACUCCUGAACAGAACUGUUGGAAGGCUACAUUAUUCUUGGUGGGGUGCUCAUACAUGGCACUCUGUGACUGCAAAAUACAGGUUUGCCAAGAUCUGAAUGACAAAAAGGAGCUUCAUUUUUUUGGUCUAUUACUUUCCCUUGCAUGGCAGAAUGAAUAUUGGUUACAUGAAGAUUUGAACAAUAUUAUGUGAAAGCAAAAAUAAGAAGGAAAAAAAGAAAUAUUCUGUCAAGAGAACUUUUCUGAGAUCUGAUCCCUCUUGCAAAUAAAAUGAAUUGUGGCAUGUAGUAAUACAUUAAUUUCCUUGUAAAAUAGCUGAGCCAGUUUUUAAUUGUCUGCUUACAAAGAUUUGCACUGAACUAGAACUGAUCUUACUAUUAUUUUCCUUUCAAGAAAAUAUGCUGUACAUAUUUUCUUGACUGAGUGCCUACUACGUUUUGUAUUUUUUGUCAUAUGCUAGCAUCUGAUAUGUUUAGUUAAAUACUUUGUAGGUGUUACUGUUCCCUAGAAUGAAAGAUCUAGACUUUAGAGCAAAACAUAUUCCUUCUUCUGAUAUAAACCCUGUACUUUUUAAAAAGCAUGCAGUUAAAAAAAAAAAAAAAAACACCAAGAACAAACAUAUGUACCUUGAGUGCCAUUUCUGGGAGUGAAUUGUCACGUACUAUUGCUACAGUGUAGGAAAACAGCCACCAUUUUUGUGCUAAAUUUCAAGUGUAGC
ensembl:lncRNA